rnacentral:misc_RNA from 1 species
GAUGAAGAACGUAGCGAAAUGCGAUAAGUAGUGUGAAUUGCAGAAUUCAGCGAAUCAUCGAAUCUUUGAACGCACAUUGCGCCCUUUGGUUAUUCCUUAGGGCAUGCCUGUUCGAGCGUCAUUUCAACCCUUAAGCCUAGCUUAGUGUUGGGAAUCUGCUGUAUUGCAGUUCCUCAAAUACAACGGCGGAUCUGUAACAUCCUCUGAGCGUAGUAAAUUUUUAUCUCGCUUUUGUUAGGUGUUGCAGCUCUCAGCCGCUAAACCCCCCAAUUUUUGUGGUUGACCUCGGAUCAGGUAGGAAUACCCGCUGAACUUAAGCAUAUCAAUAAGCGGAGGA